AAGUCAUGCGAGAUUACUCGCUGAGUUUAAGCAUACCGAUAAGCAAAGGAAAAGAAACUUGCCAAAAUUCCUUUAGUAAUUGCAACUGAAUCAUGAAUAGCUCAGCUUGAGAAUUAGGCACCCCUAGUGUAUGAAUUGUAGUAUAGAAAAGCAUCCUCAGUGGUGGACUAAGCCCAAGUUCCCUAAAAAGGGGCACCAGAGAGGAUGAGAGCCUUGUUAUGCCUGACCAUGUUACACCACAAAGCAUUGUCUGUGAGUUAGGUUGUUUGGGAAUGUAGACCCAAUCCAGUGGUAAAUUUCAUCUAAGGAUGAAUAUGGGUGAGAGACUAAUAGCAAAAAAGUAUCAUAAGUUAAAGAUGAAAAGGACUUUGAAAAAAGAGUCAAAGAGUGCCUAAAAUUGCCAAAAGGGAAGUAGGUGGGGACAUCAAUGCACCUCAGUGGGUAUGGAAUAUUGAGAGUCAGUCCACCAAUUAGCUUGAGGGGUGGGCCGAUGUGGGUCACAGUGGUGGCCUACACUUAGGCUUUCAACAUGCCAAUAAAGACAUUGCCACCACAAUCAUGGAAUGCAACAUGCUUCAUCUCGGCAUGCCUUAACACCAGCAUGCUCCCAGUGUUAGCCUACGAACUCUCUACUAGCUCAUCUUGAAACACAGAACGAAGAGUCUAAAAGAUAUGCAAGUUAAUAGGCUAGAAAACUCAUAAGGUGCAAUGAAGCUAAUUGGCAAGAUCCUUCAUAGGUGUACCACUGAUAGAUCUUGAUCUUUUGAGAAUGGUUUAAGUGAGAGCAUGCAUGUCUGGACCCGAAAGAUGGUGACCUAUGCCUGAGUAAGGCAAAGCCAAAAGAAACUCUGGUAGAGGCUUACAAAGAUACUAACAUGCAUAUUAUUCAUCUAACUUUGGUAUAGGGGCAAAAGAUUAAUCAAAUAGUCUAGUAGGUGGUUUCCUUCAAAGUUUCUUUCAAGAUAACAGGAGCCUUAGUGAGUCCUAUAAGGUAAAGUUAAUGACUAGAGGCAUCGAGGGUGCAAUACCUUCGACCUAUUCUCAAACUUUAAAUAGGUAGGACAGUGCUACUGCUUCAUUAAGUCACACCAUGGAAUCAAGAGCUACAAAUGGGGCAUUUUUGGUAAGCAAAACUGGCAUUACAGGAUGAACUAGAAGCUGGUUUAUGAUGACCAACUACACUUUAACAUAGAACCCAUAAAAAGUGUUGGUCUAUUAAGAUAGCAAAAUGGUGGUCAUAGAAGUCAAAAUCGCUAAGAAGUGUGUAAAAACUCACUUACCGAAUUAUCUAGACUAAAAAAUGGAUGGUGCUUAAGCGUGUGAUCUAUACCUAGCAUAGGGGCAAGGGCCAAGCCUCGACGAGUGCGAAGGCACAUUGGUCCUUGCAAAACCCAGGGCAUAAUCUUAAGUGAAGCAACUGUCAGUGCAGAUCUUGGUGGUAGUAGCAAAUAUUCAAAUGAAAACGUUGAAGGUUAAAGAAGAGAAAAUUUCCAUGUGAAUAGCACUUGCACAUAGGUUAGUCAUUCUUAAGAAGUAGAGGAAGCCCAUUUGACAGUGCAUCUAGCACGAGCUUCAAAAAGGAAUUGGGUUAAAAUUCUUGAACCAGGAUGCGACAAAUGUUGACAAUGUUCGGGAGUUUGGAGAGGUCAGCAGAGGCCUUGGGAAAAGCUAUCUUAUCUAUUUAAUGUCUUGUGCACCCUAAAAAUAGCUCAAUCAGAGGUAAGGUCUAAUAGCUAGAAGAGUAUCGCAUGUCAUAUAGUGUCCAUUAUGCUCUCAGUGGCUCUUAAAAAUUCAAGGAUUGAGUACUGUCUAUGCGCAAUCAUACUCAUAACUGCAUUAGUUCUCCAUGGUGAACAACUUCUAGUUGAUAGGAAAAUAUAGGCAAGGGAAGUUGGCAAAAUGGAUCUGUAACCUUAAGAAAUGGAUUGGCUUUAAGGGCUGGGUGUGAGGGUCCCAAUUUCAGACCCAUUGGUUGCCAAUGCAUUACUCAAGCUUCUUUUACAGUGAGAGUAGGUUGCCACAUACCAACAGGAGGAUGGAAUGGGAAUGGCACCCUUAGGGGCCUUUCCCGAGUGAUGAAUAGUUGACUUAAAAUUGGUACGGAAAUGGGGAAUAUGAUUGUUUAAUUAAAACAAAGCAUUGUGAUGGUCCCUGCAACUACCAUGCAGUGUGAUUUCAACCCAAUGUUGUGAAUUUCAAAGUGAAGAAAUUCAACCAAAGCUCAAGUAAAUGGCGAGAGUAACUAUGGCCCUCUUAAGGUAGCCAAAUGCCUCAUCAUCUAAUUAGUGAUGUGCAUAAAUAGAUUAAUGACAUUCCCACUAUCCCUAUCACUAUCUAGCAAAACCACAACUAGAGGAAUAGGCUUGGCAGAAUCAAUGGGGAAGAAGACCCUAUUAAGCAUAACUCUAGUCUGACUUUGUGAAAUGACUUAAAAGGAGUAGGAUAAGUGGGAGUUCUUGGGCGAAAUUGAAAUACCACUACUUUUAACAUUAUUUUACUUAUUCCAUGAAUCAGAGGUAAGGCACAACCCUUUCUUUUAGACUCGAUGUCAACCUCGGUUGAUCGAUCUGGGCAAAAGACAUUGUUAGGUGAGGAGUUUGGUGUUGCAGCACAUUUGUUAAAAGAUAACAUAGGUGUCUUAAGAUGAGCUCAACAAGAACAAAAAAUCUCACGUGGAACAAAAAGGUAAAAGCUCAUUUGAUUUUGAUUUCUAGUACAAAUACAAACUAUGAAAGCAUGGCCUAUCGAUCUUUUAGACCUUCAAAAUUUGAAGCUAGAGGUGUAAAAAAAGUUACCACUAGGAUAGCUAGCUUGUGGUAGCCAAGAUUUCAUAGCAACAUUAUUUUUUGAUCCUUUGAAGUCAUCUUUUCCUAUCAUUAUGAAGUAGAAUUCACCAAUUAUUGGAUUGUUCACCCACCAAAAUGGAACAUAAGUUAGGUUUAAACCAUCAUGAGAUAGGUUAGUUUUACCCUACUAAUGGUAGCAUCACAAUAGUAAUUCAACCUAGUACAAGAGGAACUAUUGAAUUACACAAUUGAUCAUCAUGCAUGGUUGAAAAGCCAGUGGCACGAAAGCUACCAUAUGCUAGAUUAUGAUCGAAGGCCUUUAAAUCAAAAUCCAAGCUAAAGGUGAUGCACAUGCCCAUCGCUCAAUUGUUGACCAUGGCCCCAAAGAGCAAGUGUCACAAGUGUAGCCUAUGAGGUGGACAAGUCAUGCAAGCCUCCUUGGAGCUCAAUUCCCAUUGAGCGGUGGGUAGAAU
rnacentral:rRNA from 1 species